CAGCCGCCGCGGGAAAACGAAGGGGGCUAGCGUUGUUCGGAUUUACUGGGCGUAAAGCGCACGUAGGCGGACUUUUAAGUCAGGGGUGAAAUCCCGGGGCUCAACCCCGGAACUGCCUUUGAUACUGGGAGUCUUGAGUUCGAGAGAGGUGAGUGGAAUUGCGAGUGUAGAGGUGAAAUUCGUAGAUAUUCGCAGGAACACCAGUGGCGAGGGCGGCUCACUGGCUCGAUACUGACGCUGAGGUGCGAAAGCGUGGGAAGCAAACAGGAUUAGAUACCCCAGUAGUCCCUGUCUCUUAUAU
rnacentral:rRNA from 1 species